rnacentral:rRNA from 1 species
GGAAACACUUCUUCCCUUCGGGGCUCUCAGCAAGGUGCUGCAUGGUUGUCGUCAGCUCGUGCCGUGAGGUGUCGGGUUAAGUCCCAUAACGAGCGCAACCCUUAUCGUUAGUUGCCAGCGGGUAAUGCCGGGAACUCUAGCGAAACUGCCGGUGUAAACCGAGAGGAAGGUGGGGAUGACGUCAAAUCAGCACGGCCCUUAUGUCCAGGGCCACACACGUGUUACAAUGGCCGGUACAGAGGGCAGCUACCUGGAGACAGGAUGCGAAUCUCCAAAGCCGGUCUCAGUUCGGAUCGGAGUCUGCAACUCGACUCCGUGAAGCUGGAUUCGCUAGUAAUCGCGCAUCAGCCAUGGCGCGGUGAAUACGUUCCCGGGCCUUGUACACACCGCCCGUCAAGCCAUGGAAGUUGGGGGUACCUGAAGUCCGUAACCGCAAGGAGCGGCCUAGGGUAAAACCAGUGACUGGGGCUAAGUCGUAACAAGGUAGCCGUACCGGAAGG